rnacentral:RNase_P_RNA from 1 species
GGCAGAGAGAGCUCAGCUCCCGUGGUCGAUACCGCAGUGAGAUGAUGCAUUAAUACAUCGACUGUUGUGUCGACAAACGAGGAAAGUCCCCCCACCGUCUGGACAGGUGACCAAACGCAAGUUUGGAGUUGGAGACAACUGGCGCUGGAACAGAAACGACACCACUCACCCUGACCGAUGAGACGUGCGAACUACCCCGCAAGGGACGGGAGUUAACCCGUCGAGGGAGCGGUGAUAUGCGUUGUCUGAUACGUCGAUAACGCACUCAAACCGCAUCAGAUGGAUGAGAAUGGAUGGAACGGCGAAUCCUCACCGGUGCAAGUCCAUGCCAGAAAGGUAGUCCGGACAGGGCGUGGACGCUUAGCCGAAUGCUGAGUUGAACAGAAGGGGGCUUACUCCUCUCAGCC